UACGUAGGGUGCAAGCGUUAAUCGGAAUUACUGGGCGUAAAGCGUGCGCAGGCGGUUUUGUAAGACUGUCGUGAAAUCCCCGGGCUUAACCUGGGAAUGGCGAUGGUGACUGCAAGGCUAGAGUUUGGCAGAGGGGGGUAGAAUUCCACGUGUAGCAGUGAAAUGCGUAGAGAUGCGGAGGAACACCGAUGGCGAAGGCAGCCCCCUGGGCUAGCACUGACGCUCAGGCACGAAAGCGUGGGGAGCAAACAGG
rnacentral:rRNA from 1 species